CUCAGGAUGGGAACAUGUGACCAUCUCCUGAGCACACACCCCUGGGAGUGAUUUGCAGUGACCUUCCCAGAGGGAGCUUCCCCAGGGGGGUCUCAGUUGGAUUAUGAUAAUGUGGAGGAGCCUGCCUUGAACGACAUCUCCCAGACUCCAGAUGGCCAAGAUGCCCCUGCCCUGCCUGGAGAUGUCCCAGAGGAUGGUUAUGAUGAUGCCAGAGAAGUGUCUGAGCCUGAAGAUGACCCUGGUUUGGGGCAGAAUGAUGAGAAAGGCACUGGUGC